CCAAAACUAGACACUUGUUAUUUUUUAAUUAAUUCUUAGUGUGUUAAAAAAAUUUCUAAAACCAAUUAGGAAAUGAUAAGUGGCUAGUUUUGA
rnacentral:pre_miRNA from 1 species